CUGAGCAUCACACAUCUUCCGAUUCAUUAGCUUCAUUUUCUUGCUUGGGUUAAGCUCUGCAAUUAUUCCGUAGCUUGGCAUGGCAGCUAAGAAAACAUACAGUUAAACCUUGAUAGGUUUUGACCUCCAAGUUGAGUCGUAUCAUGACUGCUGGGGGAUAGUCUUCUCCAGUUCGAAGUGUAUGGACUGCAAGAUUUUGAAGGAAGUGAAGAUAGACAGGCUUUAUUCCAUGGCGGCCAUUCCCAACAUGGCAUACAUUCUGCGGCCUGCAAAUGCUGCCAUCACCGGAGCCAUUGGAUUCUCGAGUUAUGCAAGAGAAAAGGCCAAGAGCUCUUCUUUGGGUAAAGACCCGUCCAAUCAAAUAGUUGAGCUUCCCUCAGGGAAACCAUGUAAGAGCUGCAACUUCCUCUUCCUUCUUUUUCUGUAGCACCAGUUGGGGGCCCUGCAUUACCGGGCAAUUCCAAAUAUACCUGUAGGUCUCUGUUAGCGGACAUCAUCCAACUGCAAGAUGUGAAGGAGCUUUGCUCAGUCCUAGUGGUAUGGUUGGAAGAAGCUGCAAAGACUCUUGCAGAACAAAAGGAUGCAAAAGAGAAACUGGCCAAAGAACAAACGGAGACUUCCCUCUCAAUGUCAACGAAACAAGGGACUCAAAAUCAAGUUGAUGGUGACAAAACUGUGGCCAAAGACCGUUCCAGCGCAAGUCAGGCGCCUGAUAAGAGCGUCCAAGACGAAUCUGACACAGAAGUUUCUGCGGAUAUGCCCCAACUGAGAGGCCAAUGUCCCCUGGGACUCUUGGCUUUGAUGUGUGAUGAACAGGACACGAUGUUCUUGGCGGCUGCUUCCUCGAAAGGAUUAAUGGGCGCUGGCGGUAAUUUCAAAUCCACAGUUGCCUCCUGGUAAUCACGACGGAGAUUUAUAGAGAACAGGAAAGGCUGGUAUUUAAG